UGACAAGGCAAGCAAGUGUAAAUAUAUUUAGCACAUUGAGACAUGCAAAUUACCAUUUGUACAUGAGUUUGGUCCUAACUCUCAAUGAUUCACAUCAUAUAGGUUGUGUUUACAAAUUUAUAGGGAGGAAUCAAGGGUUCGCAAUAGUCUUGCUCUUUACAUAUAUACCUGGCUUUAGCACAUUGAGACAUGCAAAUUACCAUUUGUACAUGAGUUUGGUCCUAACUCAAGUUCAUGCCCCACAGUGAUUCACAUUAUAAAUAGGUUUAGUGUUUACAAAUUUCUAGGGAUGAAUCAAGGGUUGGCAUACAAGUAAUAGGAAUUAAAUGAUUGCUUGUAAGAUUUUCCUAGUUUUUUUCUUUCCCCAAGAUCAGACAAGUACUCAUGAGUGGAUAAUAUUCUUGUUCUUUAGGCACUUGCAUAAAUACCUGCCUUUGCUGGCUGCAACCACACAUCACGCGCUACGCUCUUACCGUUGGACCAAAGCCUUGUGGGCUCUCUAUUAUUCCAAUGGCUUGACCACUCUAUUUGUUUUUCCCCUUCCUAAUUGCUAUGUAGGAGAAUAGAGAUGUAGCUUUAUAGGUUGCUUGCCCUUCUUGGGAGAUACUUGUAAAUUUAUCCAAUUUAAUACAUAUUUGGAUUUCAAAUUUAUCUUUCUG
rnacentral:lncRNA from 1 species